AACGCUAGCUACAGGCUUAACACAUGCAAGUCGAGGGGCAGCAUUAUCGAAGCUUGCUUUGAUAGAUGGCGACCGGCGCACGGGUGAGUAACGCGUAUCCAACCUUCCCCAUAGUCAGGAAUAGCCCGGCGAAAGUCGAAUUAAUGCCUGAUGUUUUCCACGGACGGCAUCUGAUGUGGAACAAAGAUUCAUCGCUAUGGGAUGGGGAUGCGUCUGAUUAGCUUGUUGGCGGGGUAACGGCCCACCAAGGCAACGAUCAGUAGGGGUUCUGAGAGGAAGGUCCCCCACAUUGGAACUGAGACACGGUCCAAACUCCUACGGGAGGCAGCAGUGAGGAAUAUUGGUCAAUGGGCGGAAGCCUGAACCAGCCAAGUAGCGUGAGGGAUGACUGCCCUAUGGGUUGUAAACCUCUUUUAUAAGGGAAUAAAAUACGGGACGUGUCCUGUUUUGCAUGUACCUUAUGAAUAAGGACCGGCUAAUUCCGUGCCAGCAGCCGCGGUAAUACGGAAGGUCCGGGCGUUAUCCGGAUUUAUUGGGUCUAAAGGGAGCGCAGGCGGUCUUAUAAGCGUGACGUGAAAUGCAGCGGCUCAACCGUAUGAUGUGCGUCGCGAACUGUGAGACUUGAGUGUAUUCGAUGUCAGCGGAAUUUGUGGUGUAGCGGUGAAAUGCUUAGAUAUCACGAAGAACUCCGAUUG
rnacentral:rRNA from 1 species